rnacentral:rRNA from 1 species
UACGUAGGCAGCAAGCGUUGUUCGGAGUUACUGGGCGUAAAGGGUGCGUAGGCGGCUUUUUAAGUUUGGUGUGAAAUCUCCCGGCUCAACUGGGAGGGUGCGCCGAAUACUGAGAGGCUAGAGUGUGGGAGAGGAAAGUGGAAUUCCUGGUGUAGCGGUGAAAUGCGUAGAUAUCAGGAGGAACACCGGUGGUGUAAACGGCUUUCUGGACCAUAACUGACGCUGGAUGCACGAAAGCUAGGGGAGCAAACAGG